UGGGGAAUAUUGCACAAUGGGGGAAACCCUGAUGCAGCGACGCCGCGUGAGCGAAGAAGGUUUUCGAAUCGUAAAGCUCUGUCCUAUGAGAAGAUAAUGACGGUAUCAUAGGAGGAAGCCCCGGCUAAAUACGUGCCAGCAGCCGCGGUAAUACGUAUGGGGCGAGCGUUGUCCGGAAUUAUUGGGCGUAAAGGGUACGUAGGCGGUCUAUUAAGUCAGGUGUGAAAGCGUGAGGCUUAACCUCAUUAAGCACUUGAAACUGAUAGACUUGAGUGAAGGAGAGGAAAGUGGAAUUCCUAGUGUAGCGGUGAAAUGCGUAGAUAUUAGGAGGAAUACCGGUGGCGAAGGCGACUUUCUGGACUUUUACUGACGCUCAGGUACGAAAGAGUGGGGAGCAAACAGG
rnacentral:rRNA from 1 species